rnacentral:rRNA from 1 species
GAUGAACGCUAGCUACAGGCUUAACACAUGCAAGUCGAGGGGUAACGAGAGGAGAGCUUGCUUUCCUUGUCGACGACCGGCGCACGGGUGAGUAACGCGUAUCCAACCUGCCCCCAACUAGGGAAUAACCUUGCGAAAGUAAGACUAAUACCCUAUAAUUUCCUCAGAUGUCAUCUGACGAGGAAUAAAGAUUUAUCGGUUGUGGAUGGGGAUGCGUCUGAUUAGCUUGUUGGCGGGGGAACGGCCCACCAAGGCAACGAUCAGUAGGGGUUCGUGGAGGAAGGUACCCCACAUUGGACCUGGGACACGGUCCAAACUCCUACGGUAGGCAGCAGUGAGGAAUAUUGGUCAAUGGGCGGAAGCCUGAACCAACCAAGUAGCGUGCAGGAUGACGGCCCUAUGGGUUGUAAACUGCUUUUAUACAGGAAUAAAGUUAGCCACGUGUGGUUAUUUGUAGGUACUGUAUGAAUAAGGACCGGCUAAUUCCGUGCCAGCCGCCGCCGUAA